rnacentral:rRNA from 1 species
UGGGUAAUCUGCCCUCGGUUCUGGGAUAGCCCGGGGAAACCCGGAUUAAUACCGGAUGGCCUCUCGAGCUCUCGGGCUCGUGAGAAAAGGUAGCUUCGGCCUCCGACCGAGGAUGAGCCCGCGGCGGAUUAGCUUGUUGGCGGGGUAACGGCCCACCAAGGCAGCGAUCCGUAGCUGGUCUGAGAGGACGAUCAGCCACACUGGGACUGAGACACGGCCCAGACUCCUACGGGAGCAGC